CAUUUAGUUGGCGCCAAGCGAACAAAAAUAUUCAAUUUAUGAACGAGCGCAUGUAUGAGUGUGUGUGUAUGGGUAUUUGAUUGUGUGUUGGCAGGACCUGGCGCUAUAUUUGGCACGCACGGGCACGGGGACAACAACACGGACAAUCCCACCGACCGUCCAUCCACUCAGCAUCUACAGCUGCUGGUUGCGUUAACACCGACGCCGACUGCGGCGUUGACGACUCACCUGCACACUAAUGGGACCAUGGGCAGCGAUUGUUUUAUCGAUGGCCGCAAAUUUUGAUUACGUUUCUCAGGCCAAACGUGAUCAAAUUUUAGUUUUAAUCCAUAACGCGGCACAGCCGUUAUUUCAUUUGAUUCACCGGUUUCCUGCCGUUUCCUCCUCCUCCGCCUGUUGCAGUUGCUCGGCGUACACAGCGCUGGCGGAGUCUGCGGUUGCAGCUGCAGUUCCGUUGGCCGUCAAUGGUGUUGUUGUUGUUAUUUCCACAGCCGACGCCAUUGUGCGUGUUAGAUUUCAAUUGUUCGAUUUGUCUUUAUAUUUGUGUGGAUGUGCGAGUGUUGGGUGAUUAAUACAAUUGCGUGCAAUUCA